UACGUAGGGUGCAAGCGUUGUCCGGAAUUAUUGGGCGUAAAGAGCUCGUAGGCGGUUUGUCGCGUCUGCUGUGAAAACUCGGGGCUUAACUCCGGGCCUGCAGUGGGUACGGGCAGACUAGAGUGCGGUAGGGGAGACUGGAAUCCUGGUGUAGCGGUGAAAUGCGCAGAUAUCAGGAGGAACACCGGUGGCGAAGGCGGGUCUCUGGGCCGUAACUGACGCUGAGGAGCGAAAGCGUGGGGAGCGAACAGG
rnacentral:rRNA from 1 species